UACGUAGGGGGCUAGCGUUGUUCGGAAUUACUGGGCGUAAAGCGCACGUAGGCGGCUUUGUAAGUUAGAGGUGAAAGCCCAGGGCUCAACCCUGGAAUUGCCUUUAAGACUGCAUCGCUUGAACAUCGGAGAGGUAAGUGGAAUUCCGAGUGUAGAGGUGAAAUUCGUAGAUAUUCGGAAGAACACCAGUGGCGAAGGCGACUUACUGGACGAUUGUUGACGCUGAGGUGCGAAAGCGUGGGGAGCAAACAGGAUUAGAAACCCCCGUAGUCC
rnacentral:rRNA from 1 species